UACAAUAUUUAAAUCUAGAUGGACCCAGGACUCUGUAGUCUCUAAGCACUACAAUGCCAGUGCACUGUAUUUUUCUGGCUGUGAAGUAAAAUAAACAACAGAAGACAAAACCAACCUGUGGCCUGUGGAAGGUUCAGAGUCUAAAUUGACUGUGGUUUUAUUUUUAUUUGUUGACUCAGGCUUUAUGACACCAGAGUUCUCCAGCUUGAAGGUUCUAUGACUCUGGGCCCCUUGGAGAUCUGAAGUUUUGUGGCUAAGGCCCUUGAUGUUUAUUUACAGUCCCGUUGUCCCAUGUUCAACGUUUCUAGUACUCUGUGAUUUCAGGUCUUCAUGGCUCCUGAUGUGCAAGGUUCCAGGACCUUUGGGUAGGCCUUGGCCUAUAAGAUCCAAGAGUGAUGGGAGGUAGAGUCUCUGGUCCCAGAGGACCACUGUUCCAGCACUCUCUGCUUUCUGAGCCUUCUAAAACAAGCUACAAAAGGUCUGCAGAGUCCUUGUUAUCUGCUUCAUCAUAGUACCAAACAUGGAGCCGCUCACGUCAAUAACGAAUACCAUGUUUCUCUUGACAGGUGGGAGGCCUCUGGGGGCAAAGUAAUGAAUAAAAUAGUCCUCGCAAAUCUUGACAAAAAGAAGUGAAACCAACAGGAACCAUGAGAGACGGUCUAAAUCAGGUUAUCAGGUUCCCUCUUAUUCUCCUAUGGAACACCCUGCCUUUUUUUUUUUUUUCUCCUUCGUAGGCUUUAACUCUGUUUCUAGUUAAAUAGGCAUCUGUGUGAUUGUUUGUGUCAGUGUCCAUCUGCUCUGACAGAACUGUGUCUCUGCUGUUCAGGCUGUCAGCCCAGGGCCUGCCCCAGAGCUGUGGAGUGAAUGAGACUGGCUUGUGGCCCAAGGCUCCAAGGAUCAGGAUCUCUGUAAUAUGUGAGUUCCUGUCCAUGAGAGCUGACUUGCACAGUCUUGAGAGCCCCUGGGGACAUUUUGCCUGGGCUCCAGGAACUGUACUCUCUGAUCACAAGGCUGGACAUACUACCUCCUCCUCUCUCAGGGGGGAAGAAGGCUAAGGAAGGAUAUCUUACUCUUUCCCUCCACUCCAGCCU
rnacentral:lncRNA from 12 species